GUCGGUGUCGUCUAGUGGCAAGAUACCCUCAUUUUCCGAGGAAGACCCAAGUUCGAUUCUUGUGCGCCGGCC